rnacentral:rRNA from 1 species
UACGGGGGGGGUAAGCGUUGUUCGGAAUUACUGGGCGUAAAGGGCUCGUAGGCGGCCAACUAAGUCAUACGAUGAACUCCCUCGAGCUUAACUGGGGAACUGCGUGUGAUACUGGAUGGCUUGGAUUUGGGAGAGGGAUGCGGAAUUCCAGGUGUAGCGGUGAAAUGCGUAGAUAUCUGGAGGAACACCGGUGGCGAAGGCGGCAUCCUGGACCGGUAUGACGCUGAGCGC